AUCUGCCCUAGAAGAAGGGGAGAGCCACAGGCACAGUGAUGCAGGGACCUGGGAAGAAGGAGCCCCUGGAGAAGCUGUACCAGGAAGUGUUCUAGGUGGGAUCCAGUCUGGAUUGGGAAGUGCUUGGGACCAGCUGUGGUGUGGAUGGGCUGUGCCCUUGGAGAAGGCUGAGGACAUUGUUUGGGACCAGCUUUUCUUCUGGCAGCAGAUGGCGUGAGGUGGGUCCUCAUCUCCUUGGCAUGGGUGGGACAAGAGCUUUUGGGAGAUGGCAGCAGGCACAGGAGCAUCCCGCUCUGGGCAGCUGCUGAGGGGUUGGAUCUGCUGUGGCUGGCUGCAGGCUG
rnacentral:lncRNA from 1 species